GGAAACAUAAACCCCUCUGAUAUCAUUUUUAUGCCUUCAUCAAUUUCCUGUUUGGUGUCACUUCAACUCUAUGACCAGUACUUUUUAGCGAGCUCAAUGGAUGGUUCGAUGAAGCUCUAUGAUCGUCGCCUAACUAAAAGAGGGGCAGUACAAUCUUAUGAAGGGCAUGUCAAUUCUCAUACACGCCUACAACUUGGAGUUGACGGGGAUGAGAGAUUCGUUAUGUCAGGU